GUGACUGCGUACCUUUUGUAUAAUGGGUCAGCGACUUAUAUUCUGUAGCAAGGUUAACCGAAUAGGGGAGCCGUAGGGAAACCGAGUCUUAAUUGGGCGUUAAGUUGCAGGGUAUAGACCCGAAACCCGGUGAUCUAGCCAUGGGCAGGUUGAAGGUUGGGUAACACUAACUGGAGGACCGAACCGACUAAUGUUGAAAAAUUAGCGGAUGACCUGUGGCUGGGGGUGAAAGGCCAAUCAAACCGGGAGAUAGCUGGUUCUCCCCGAAAGCUAUUUAGGUAGCGCCUCGUGAAUUCAUCUCCGGGGGUAGAGCACUGUUUCGGCUAGGGGGCCAUCCCGGCUUACCAACCCGAUGCAAACUGCGAAUACCGGAGAAUGUUAUCACGGGAGACACACGGCGGGUGCUAACGUCCGUCGUGAAGAGGGAAACAACCCAGACCGCCAGCUAAGGUCCCAAAGUCAUGGUUAAGUGGGAAACGAUGUGGGAAGGCCCAGACAGCCAGGAUGUUGGCUUAGAAGCAGCCAUCAUUUAAAGAAAGCGUAAUAGCUCACUGGUCGAGUCGGCCUGCGCGGAAGAUGUAACGGGGCUAAACCAUGCACCGAAGCUGCGGCAGCGAACGUAUCACCCAAGACAACUUUACGGAGUUGACGAUUGACGGAGCGAAGCGACGUCAAAGCGUUCAUUAAAGUCGAGUUGGCUUAGGGAUACGUUCGUUGGGUAGGGGAGCGUUCUGUAAGCCUGUGAAGGUGUGUCGUGAGGCAUGCUGGAGGUAUCAGAAGUGCGAAUGCUGACAUAAGUAACGAUAAAGCGGGUGAAAAGCCCGCUCGCCGGAAGACCAAGGGUUCCUGUCCAACGUUAAUCGGGGCAGGGUGAGUCGACCCCUAAGGCGAGGCCGAAAGGCGUAGUCGAUGGGAAACGGGUUAAUAUUCCCGUACUUGGUGUUACUGCGAAGGGGGGACGGAGAAGGCUAUGUUGGCCGGGCGACGGUUGUCCCGGUUUAAGCGUGUAGGUGUGUGUUCCAGGUAAAUCCGGUUCACUUUAACACUGAGGCGUGACGACGAGGCACUACGGUGCUGAAGCAACAAAUGCCCUGCUUCCAGGAAAAGCCUCUAAGCAUCAGGUAACAUCAAAUCGUACCCCAAACCGACACAGGUGGUCAGGUAGAGAAUACCAAGGCGCUUGAGAGAACUCGGGUGAAGGAACUAGGCAAAAUGGUGCCGUAACUUCGGGAGAAGGCACGCUGACACGUAGGUGAAGUGAUUUACUCAUGGAGCUGAAGUCAGUCGAAGAUACCAGCUGGCUGCAACUGUUUAUUAAAAACACAGCACUGUGCAAACACGAAAGUGGACGUAUACGGUGUGACGCCUGCCCGGUGCCGGAAGGUUAAUUGAUGGGGUCAGCGUAAGCGAAGCUCCUGAUCGAAGCCCCGGUAAACGGCGGCCGUAACUAUAACGGUCCUAAGGUAGCGAAAUUCCUUGUCGGGUAAGUUCCGACCUGCACGAAUGGCGUAAUGAUGGCCAGGCUGUCUCCACCCGAGACUCAGUGAAAUUGAACUCGCUGUGAAGAUGCAGUGUACCCGCGGCAAGACGGAAAGACCCCGUGAACCUUUACUAUAGCUUGACACUGAACAUUGAGCCUUGAUGUGUAGGAUAGGUGGGAGGCUUUGAAGUGUGGACGCCAGUCUGCAUGGAGCCGACCUUGAAAUACCACCCUUUAAUGUUUGAUGUUCUAACGUGGACCCGUAAUCCGGGUUGCGGACAGUGUCUGGUGGGUAGUUUGACUGGGGCGGUCUCCUCCUAAAGAGUAACGGAGGAGCACGAAGGUUGGCUAAUCCUGGUCGGACAUCAGGAGGUUAGUGCAAUGGCAUAAGCCAGCUUGACUGCGAGCGUGACGGCGCGAGCAGGUGCGAAAGCAGGUCAUAGUGAUCCGGUGGUUCUGAAUGGAAGGGCCAUCGCUCAACGGAUAAAAGGUACUCCGGGGAUAACAGGCUGAUACCGCCCAAGAGUUCAUAUCGACGGCGGUGUUUGGCACCUCGAUGUCGGCUCAUCACAUCCUGGGGCUGAAGUAGGUCCCAAGGGUAUGGCUGUUCGCCAUUUAAAGUGGUACGCGAGCUGGGUUUAGAACGUCGUGAGACAGUUCGGUCCCUAUCUGCCGUGGGCGCUGGAGAACUGAGGGGGGCUGCUCCUAGUACGAGAGGACCGGAGUGGACGCAUCACUGGUGUUCGGGUUGUCAUGCCAAUGGCACUGCCCGGUAGCUAAAUGCGGAAGAGAUAAGUGCUGAAAGCAUCUAAGCACGAAACUUGCCCCGAGAUGAGUUCUCCCUGAGACUUAGAGUCUCCUGAAGGAACGUUGAAGACGACGACGUUGAUAGGCCGGGUGUGUAAGCGCAGCGAUGCGUUGAGCUAACCGGUACUAAUGAACCGUGAGGCUUAACCUU
rnacentral:rRNA from 1 species